GUUGUAGCUCAGUGGUAAGAGUGCUUGCCUAGGAUGGUAAGGCCCUGGGUUCGAUCCUCAGCACCACA
rnacentral:tRNA from 1 species